GUUUGGCAACAAUGAAAUAAUUUGUAGCUCAUUUCAGUAUCCAUAAAAGUCCCAUAAAACCUGAUUGGUUAGAUAUAAGGAUUCCUCAUCAAAAAGACUUCUCAGUAACAGCUUUGUACUUCCACAGAUUAAGAUGAAAUAUUUCUCCAUUUUGUUUCUGUGGUUAGUUUUUCAACCUUACAGCAGUGGAGAAUUGAAGGUUGAUUUUCUAAAAACUGUUAAAAAAUGGUAUAUGGCACCAACAUCGAUUGUAUGCCGGUUUGCAGGUCGGUGGGCAGUGAUCCCAUACAAGGAUGCAGCUAAGAUUCGGUGUAACAGGUCCAGAUGUCAAUGUUAUAAACCUAUUCACAAGACUUUCCUUCUAUGAAGAAAAGCUAAGGAUGAGGUUUACAGAUGAAGGAGUUGAUAAUAAUAAAUAAACUGAAUAGAAAAGUGGAUAUAUAUUGUUUAACAGAUACAAAAUUAAAAUGUAUUACCAUUUUACAGACCAAAUAAUCAUGUCUAAGCAAUUCCUAAUGUUCAUUAAAAUCAAGUAAACAAAAUUUC